rnacentral:rRNA from 1 species
GACAGAGGGUGCAAGCGUUGUUCGGAAUCAUUGGGCGUAAAGCGCGCGUAGGCGGCUUGGUAAGUCGAAUGUGAAAACCCCGGGCUCAACCUGGGAAGUGCAUUCGAAACUGCUGAGCUUGAGUCCUGGAGAGGGUGGUGGAAUUCCCAGUGUAGAGGUGAAAUUCGUAGAUAUUGGGAGGAACACCAGUGGCGAAGGCGACCACCUGGACGGAGACUGACGCUGAGGCGCGAAAGCGUGGGGAGCAAACAGG